UCCAGGAACAGGGUUAUAGGAGGGUAGCUCUCCAGGAACAGGGUUGGGUUACAGGAGGGUAGCUCUCCAGGAACAGGGUUGGGUUACAGGAGGGUAGCUCUCUAGGUUAAUCAAGUCAAAUGACCUGGAUUUUAACCUUUUAUUUGAAACCUUUUCCAGAAAUAAGAAUUAGAUUCCAAAUGAAAGCAAUCGUCUCAGUGUGGUGCAGGAGGACGGGGCUGGACCAGCUGACAUUAAAAAAAGGGGACAGUUUGAUUAAAAGCUUGAAAUAAAAGUACAAAUCCAGGUCAAAACACAGGGCCCUAAUUAUAGAAACACAACGUCACGGUCCCAUAACACAGGCUGGUAAAGCUCUGUCUGGAUGAGGGAAUGCUGUUGUGUCUCAUAACACCGGCUGGUAAAGCUCUCUCUUGGAUGAGGGAAUGCUGUUGUGUCAGAAGGACAUCAAAAUGUCACAUAACACCGGCUGGACACCGGCUGGUAAAGCUCUCUCUCUCUUGGAUGAGGGAAUGCUGUUGUGUCUCAUAACACCGGCUGGUAAAGCUCUCUCUCUCUUGGAUGAGGGAAGGUUGUUGUGUCUCAUAACACCGGCUGGUAAAGCUCUGUCUGGAUGAGGGAAUGCUGUUGUGUCUCAUAACACCGGCUGGUAAAGCUCUGUCUGGAUGAGGGAAGGCUGUUGUGUCUCAUAACACCGGCUGGUAAAGCUCUGUCUGGAUGAGGGAAUGUUGUGUCUCAUAACACCGGCUGGUAAAGCUCUGUCUGGAUGAGGGAAGGUUGUUGUGACUCAUAACACCGGCUGGUAAAGCUCUGUCUGGAUGAGGGAAUGUUGUGUCUCAUAACACCGGCUGGUAAAGCUCUCUCUCUCUUGGAUGAGGGAAUGUUGUUGUGUCUCAUAACACCGGCUGGUAAAGCUCUCUCUCUUGGAUGAGGGAAUGCUGUUGUGUCUCAUAACACCGGCUGGUAAAGCUCUGUCUGGAUGAGGGAAUGUUGUGUCUCAUAACACCGGCUGGUAAAGCUCUGUCUGGAUGAGGGAAUGCUGUUGUGUCUCAUAACACCGGCUGGUAAAGCUCUGUCUGGAUGAGGGAAUGUUGUUGUGUCUCAUAACACCGGCUGGUAAAGCUCUGUCUGGAUGAGGGAAGGCUGUUGUGUCUCAUAACACCGGCUGGUAAAGCUCUCUCUCUCUCUUGGAUGAGGGAAUGUUGUUGUGUCUCAUAACACCGGCUGGUAAAGCUCCCUAUUGGAUGAGGGAAUGUUGUUGUGACUCAUAACACCGGCUGGUAAAGCUCUGUCUGGAUGAGGGAAGGCUGUUGUGUCUCAUAACACCGGCUGGUAAAGCUCUGUCUGGAUGAGGGAAGGCUGUUGUGUCAGAAGGACUGUUUUAAUUACAUCAAAAUGUCACAUAAGCAUGUGACUUGUAAUUAUAUAUUUUAGAUGUUUAUAUUCAUACGCCAGAUGUCGUUUGUAAGCCUCGUUUUUUGUUCUCUCAAAGUGUUCUUUGGAUGGAUUGUGCAACAGGUGAUGGUUAUCUUUUGUUUUUGUUUUUCCGACAGCAAAGUGUGCUCACUAUAACAUGAAGUGUAUGGAGCAAUGUUUGGUUUGGAUCUGAAAUGAAUGGAUGAUGAAAAUAAACAUGGUCAGUUGUUGCACUCUGA